CUCUUGCUCUUGGACCGUCAUCGCCACCAUCUCGCGCGAGCAAACGGAGCAAAAGUGCGGAGCCGGCCAAAGAAAAGGAAAAACGCGAUUUUUGCUGUUCCCGAGAAAAAACGCUUCUGUGAAUCGAUUCGCGGCCAAAAGUGCGUGAAAAUCGUCGAGAAAAGCGCCCCUGUCCUCCGGUGUUUGUGCACGUCCACACUCAGGAGCCGACAUUCCGCCACGCACGGUCCACCAGGGAAUUUUUCGUGCGGAAAAGAGUGUGCUUUUUUUUUCUUCGUCGUGGUUGUGUGGAUCCGUCUGGAAGCCGAGUGUCGAGGACCAUCAGCGCAAAAAAGAGUGGCCUCUCGAAGAGGAAGGAGGAACCGAAAAAACACGACAAAGCUGGAAAUUGUCCGCCGCGCUGUGCGUGUGUGGAAAUUCGCGUGAAGAAGAUCUAAAGGGGCUUUGUUCCGCCGAACCCGGAUUUGUGCGUUAUUCCGUCGUCGUCGUCGUGGUUCCGGAAGCAUAAAUCAUGCAAAUUGUGCAGAUUCUAGAAAAGACCGUUUCGCCAGACAAAGAUGAGCUGCUGGUGGCGAAAAACUUCCUCGAGCAGGCCGCGGCCACCAACCUGCCCGGCUUCAUCCGCGCCCUGUCGGAUGUGCUCGCCUUUGCGGGGAACUCGCCGGUGGCGCGGAUGGCCGCCGGUUUGCAGCUAAAGAACCAACUGACCAGCAAGGACCCCACCAUCAAGUACCAGUACCAGGAGCGAUGGCUCACCUUCCCCGAGGACAUGCGGGAGUACGUCAAGAAGAACAUCGUCGGCUCGCUGGGAACGGAAUCGUCACGGCCGUCGUCGGCCGCGCAGUGCGUUGCGUACGUGGCCGUGGCCGAGUUGCCCGUGGGACAGUGGCCAAAUCUGAUGCAGAAGCUGGUGGACAAUGUGGUCAACGAGAAGUCUACCGAAAUGGAGCGGGAAUCGACGCUGGAAGCGAUCGGAUACAUUUGCCAGGACAUCAACUCGGAGAUCCUCGAGCACCAGUCGAACCAGAUUCUGACGGCGAUUAUUCACGGGAUGCGCAAGUCGGAACCGUCCAAUCACGUCCGGCUGGCGGCCACCAACGCGUUGCUCAAUUCGUUGGAGUUCACCAAGGCAAACUUUGAGGAGACGGCCGAACGGAACUAUAUCAUGGAGGUGGUCUGCGAGGCAACUCAAUCAACGGACACCCAAAUCUGUGUGGCAGCGCUGCAGUGUCUGGUGAAGAUCUUGACGCUGUACUACCAACACAUGGAGGCGUACAUGGCCCAGGCACUGUUCCCGAUCACGCUCGAGGCGAUGAAGUCCGACAACGAACAGAUCUCCCUGCAGGGCAUCGAGUUCUGGUCCAACGUCAGCGACGAGGAAAUCGACCUUGCGAUCGAAGCGCAAGAAGCGGCCGAAGCCGGUCGACCUCCGAAUCGCGUGUCACGUCACUACGCCCGCGGUGCCCUCCAGUUUCUGGCCCCGGUCCUGAUGGAGAAGCUGACGCGCCAGGAAGAGUUUGACGACGAAGACGAUUGGAACCCGUCCAAAUCGGCCGGCGUCUGUCUGAUGCUGCUUGCCACCUGCUGCGAGGAUGAAAUCGUUCCGCAUGUGCUGCCCUUCGUCAACAACAACAUCAAGUCGACGAACUGGCGCUACCGGGACGCCGCCCUGAUGGUGUUCGGGUCGAUCCUGAGCGGUCUCGAGGCGAACACGCUGAAGCCGCUGGUCGAGCAGGCGAUGCCCACGCUGAUUGAGCUGAUGUACGACCAGAGCGUCAUCGUGCGGGACACGUGCGCGUGGACCUUUGGCCGAAUUUGUGAGGUCAUUCCGGAAGCAGCCAUCAAUGAGCAAUAUCUGGAGCCGCUGCUUAAAGCCCUGCUGAACGGCCUGAAGGCGGAACCGCGCGUCGCCACCAACGUCUGCUGGGCCUUCUCGGGCCUGUCGGAAGCGGCAUACGAUGCGGCCAACGUGGACGACGAUCCGCCCCAGACGUACUGUCUGUCGCAGUACUUUGACUUUAUCAUCAGCAACCUGCUCGAGACGACCGAUCGGCCGGACGGAGCGCAGGCCAAUCUGCGUUCGUCGGCGUACGAGGCGCUCAUGGAGAUGAUCAAGAACUCUCCCCAGGAUUGUUACAUCUCCGUGCAGAAGACCACGAUGGUCAUCCUGGAGCGGUUGAACCAGGUGCUGCAGAUGGAGUCGCACAUUUCCACGCACACCGACCGGCAUCAGUUCAACGAUCUGCAGUCGCUGCUGUGCGCCACGCUGCAGUCGGUCCUGCGCAAGGUCGACGCCAAGGACGCGCCGCAGAUUUCGGACGCCAUCAUGACGGCGCUGUUGACCAUGUUCAAUUCCAGCUCCGGCAAGGUGGGUGGAGUCCAGGAGGAUGCGCUGAUGGCGGUGUCGACGCUGGUUGAUCUGCUGGGCGAAGGCUUCAUCAAGUACAUGGACGCGUUCAAGGAUUAUCUGUACGUCGGGCUGAAGAACCACCAGGAGUACCAGGUGUGCUGUACGGCGGUCGGCCUCGCCGGCGACAUCUGCCGUGGCCUCAAGAACAAGAUCCUCCCGUACUGCGACGAAAUCAUGACGUUACUGCUGGAAAACCUGAGCAAUCCGUCGAUCCACCGCAGCGUCAAGCCCCAAAUUCUGUCCGUCUUUGGCGACAUGGCACUCAGCAUCGGGCCCGACUUCAAGAAGUACCUAACCGUGGUGUUGCAGAUGUUGACGCAUGCUACCCAGGUGCAGGUCGACCCCAGCGAUUACGACAUGAUCGACUACCUGAACGAACUGCGCGAGAGCGUCCUCGAGGCGUACACCGGCAUCGUCCAGGGUCUCAAGGGCGUCGACAAAAUGCCCAGCGAAGAUGUCGCCCUGCUGCAGCCGCACGUUCCCUUCAUCAUCAGCUACAUCGUGUCGAUCGCCAAGGACAGCGAACUGUCCGACGGUAACAUCGCGAUCGCCGCCGGCCUCAUCGGGGACAUGUGCUCCGCCUUCGGGCCCGCCCUGCUCCAGCUCGUCGAAGACCCGCAGAUCCAGCAGCUGCUGAACGAGGGCAAAAACUCCCGCACCGGACGCACCAAAACGCUGGCCAACUGGGCGCUCAAGGAGAUCAAAAAGCUCAAGCAGCCGGCGAAUGACGCGAGUUGGCGAUUCAAAUGAAAAGUGAUCGUUUGAAAUAGUCCUCUAGUUAAACUGAAUUCGGUAAAGUGCGAGUGCGAUUGAAUGUAUGGAAUUUGCGCAGUUUAGAGAGUCUCUACCCACAAAACAAGACACAUUCACAAACAAUGAAAGAGCGAGCGAGAGUCGCACGAAAGAGGUUUCUGGUUGAAAGAUUUAAUCCAGCAUCAACGGCAACACGCUCAACUACACGACCGCCAACGGCACCAACCCAGCCGCCAACGCCGCCACCAGCACCGUUCCAGCAAUGUAAUUCCGCAAAUUUAAUGUCGUCGGCGCCGCCACGGGAGGACGAGGAACCGUUCAACUGCAAUCGCAAUCUCUGCUUCGACCUGUCGGUGCGGAUUUAGGUUCCGGAAGUUCGAUCCGAACGCGCGCGCUGGCGGUAAGUAACAUCAUCAAUUUUUUCGAGGUUUGCGGGACAAACAUUUGGCAUGAACAGCAGGAACGUGCGUGCGUGCGCGUGCGCGUGUAGUGGUUAUUCGUAAUUUAUUACUGUGUAAACUAAUUAAAUUAAAUCAAUUAUAUCUACGAAAGUAUAAGGCAAACACAAACACACACAAUUCCCAAAAAAAAAAUAAGUAUCUUCUCUAAAACAGAUCAAAUCAAGCUGAAAAUAGACAAAAACAAACCACUCACACAAACACAAUUGAAAAAAGUCGUAGUCUUGUCCGCGAAGCGUGUGCCAUAGUGAAAUGAAAAAGUUGAAGGGGAGAGAAGAAGCGGGAAAAAACUGGGGGUUAAAAUUGUAUAAACAUUUUAAACUUUCACCGUGGCACCGUCGCGGUUUUGCCCUACUGUUACAAAAUCAACAAUUUAGAGCAGCAAAAGCAAAAAGUUACAACACUUACACUGAGAAAAAUCUACACCACACAAAUAUGAUGAUGAUGAUGCGCAUAAGAUUAAAUCUGACAGCAAACAGCUAAACAAAAAAAAAAAGAAACAUAUUUAAUUACAGUUUAAACAACAAAAAAUAGGGCAAUUCUCUCGGAAAACGGACCAUUUCUUGAAAUUGGCUGAAACUUUGUUGGGGAUUUCCGAUAACCAAAACAGCAAUUUUCUUCAUUGGUUCGUCCAUACAAGUCUUCAUACAAUUUUGACAGCGGUUCGAAAAUCAAUGGGAUGGGAUUCUCUGAUCGGUUUGUUAUCUUCGGCAAUGUUGUAGGUAAAAAAGGGGGACGGUUCCACUUUUUUAAUGGGAUGAGGGAAAUUCUCCACGUUAUCCCCAAGUAAGAUUUGCUUGAAGUUAGACGAUUUUUGGAAGGCGAAGUGAAAAAUAUUCAAUUUUUCUAAUCUCUUAUUGGAUGAAUUAUUCUAAAACGGGGGAUCGAACACUGUCGUUCGAAGCGACACAUUUUUUGGCUAAAAUUAAAGAUUAGAACUUUAAAAAAUCAUUAAAUGCGAAAUUCUAACAAACAAAUAUAAAAAAUGUUAGAGAAAAAAAAUCCUGAAAUAUGUUUUUUUAUUUUAAAAUUGAAUGAUUUAAAAACAUAAGUAAAAAUUUAUCAGCUUAUUUUUCUUUAAUAUUUGCAACAGCCUCACUAAAAUUUAAAAAAACAUAAAUUAAAAAUAUCUAAAAUUUUACAACCAAAACUAAAAAAAACGUAAUAAAAAUAAUCUGUAAAUUUAGAUUUUUUUAUGUUUUGCGGUUCAAAACUUUUAAACUUUUAAAAAUUCCAGGUGUCUGAAAUAUCAAAAUAGGAUUUUUUUAUUUAAAAAAUUCUAAAUUUAAAAAAGUAAUUUAUUUUAAAAUUAAACGAUUUAAAAAACAUAAGUAAAAACUUAUCGGCUUAUCUUUCUUUAAUAGUUGCAACAGCUUUAUACUAAAAUUUAAAAAUUAGAAAAUAGCUGAAUUAAAAUCUCAGCUAUAUUAAAGUCCAAAAUUUUGAAUUUUAAAUUAAUUUUUUUUGACGAAUUUAAAAAAAAACAUAAAUUAAAAAUAUCUAAAUUGUUACAACCAAAUAACUAAAAGAAACGUAUUAAAAAUAAUCUGUGAAUUAAGAAUUUUUCAAGUUUUGAAGUCCAAAAUGUAAAUAUUUCAACUUUCAAAAAUUCCAGGUGUCUGAAAUAUCAAAAUAGGAUUUUUUUUUAAAUUUUGAAAGUUCUUAUAAUUCAAAAAAGUUAAAAUGUUACAACAAUGAAAUUCAAAAUAGUAUGAUAUCAAAAAUAUAAAAAAAAAUAUGAGAUCAAAUGAAAAAAAGCUCAGAAGUUAAAACCUUCUUUUUUAUUUUGAAAUUCAAAUAUAAUAGUUUUUUAAUCGGUUUAACUUGAAAAUAAACAAUUUGUUUCAGUAAUCCUCGGUUUUUUUUAAUUCUAUUUUUUUAACAUUUGAAUAAUUAAUUAAAUUUUGUGCCAAAAAAAUUAUUCGAUUUUGCUAUGGUUUGUGUCCUAUGACUCACUGCAUUCUGAGCAAAACCCAAAAUCCGGUCUAUUGAUUUUUCGCCAUCCAAGAUUCUGGUUUUUCUCGGCUUUGGCUGAACAAGUUGUGUCCGGAUGUGUUUUAAUCGGUCCAGUUUCAGGUCUUACAGCUUGGUUCUGAAAAUUGUAAUGUUUCGUUUUGUUGUUUAAAAGUUAUGACAACUAUUUAGACGACUACAAAAAUUACAACAUAACCUCAAACGGCCGGGUCUGAUCGCCUCGAAAGAGCCGUGUAGAGGGUUGCCAUUUUCUUCAAAGGCGGUGUCUGUAUUUUCUUGACAAAAAGUCUGCAACUUAUUUUAACGGAAAAUUUUUAUUUCAGGCACCAGCCACCUAAAGAUGUUAGAUUUUUAAACUAUUUAUUGUAUAUUGGCCGUUUUUCAGUUAGCAAAAUAUUCUUUUUCAAAUAGCUAAUAAUCUUGUAUGCAAAUUUCUUUUUUGAACUUUGAAAAUCAGACAAUCAAAGGCAUUUUAAAAUUAUUCCAAUUCAAUUCAAUUGGUGUUUAUUAGAAUUUAACAGUUCUGCUCCAGGAUGUUACAUUUGCAAUUCAGAGAUUUGGAGAACCUUUCAACUGAGAUCAAUUCAUAAGCCUUUACAGGGAGGGUACAUGUUUCUAAGAUUAGAUGUUGCUAGCUGCAUGCUCUUUUAGGGAAAAUAAAUUUUGAGAAAAAACCCUAGAUCUAUGUUUGGCUUAUUUUAAAAUUAUUAUUAUUUUUUUUUUUUUUAAAUUCAUUUUGAGAAAUUGAAAAUGGGUACAUUUGUUUAAGAGAUUACAUAAACUGUCCUUAUUCUUACCUACAACUUUGCCGGAGGCACCAAAUCGAUCAAAAAAAUCCUUUAGAUUUUCGAAUAUCUACAAAUCUGUUGUAUGGACAGCUGUCAAAAUUGUAUGGAAACUUGUAUGGACAAACCAAUAAAUCAAAAUGUCUUUUUAGGUCAUAUUGAAGACACCCUAAUAAGUUUUAACCAAAUAAAAAAAAUCAAAUGAAUUCCACUUCCGAUUAUCGUGGAGAAUUGCUCAAUACGCAAUGAGAGAAAUAUCCACCAGGCAGAAGGAGAGUGACGCAAAAUCAGAGUAAAAUCACGAGAGAACGAAGCACUUCCAACUCGGGUGAUUUAAAAAAAAAUGCGAAAUCCAAUGUUAUUUUUUAUCGUUAUCAUUUGAAACCACGUUAAUUUUGGUGUGUCCUCCGUGAGGGUACCACAUCACUUACCUCCUAUCGAGAGAAAAAAUGGAAGAGGGUACAACACUACUUAUCCCCUAUAAAAAAUAGGGGGAAAUUGGCAUUUUUCCCGAGCCCCUUACAGGAAUUGUUUCGUUGACUCGAUGGACAGCCGGACCCGCGGACGCACGUCCUUUUUUCCUGCGAAUUUUAAAACCGACUAAAAAGGGUCAUUAGCUACUUCGCGAGGAAGAAAGGAACAUCGUUGGCGCGGUGUUUAAAACAGUGCUGUUGUUCCAUACAUUUAGUAAGUGAGAAGGAGUAAGUCACGCUUAAGCUACCACGCGUGUUGGGAGAACGUCGAGUUGGAAGGUUAAGGGGAAGCGGGCCCGCGUGGAAGCUUAACGUGUAGAGAUCAUUAUUAAUAGAGAAAAAAACAAGCAGAACAUAGAAAACACUAGUAAUGAUUAAGAUAAAAAAGCAAAAAAAAAAAUAUCAAAAAAAUUAAGGUCAAGUCAUGCAAUUGCAGCCCCUCCCCUUUUCGCGGGAAGAAUGGUGUGAGAUGGAUUGAAGAGAGAAAAUAAGAGAAAGAGAGCGAGAAUGGAUGCUAAGUGCGAAGAGAGAAAAAGUAUGUUUCCGGUGAAUUUCCGGCAGAAAAGAAAGAGUUGGUGAUGGUGUGAAGAAAGGAGAUUGGUUUCGAGAAAGAACGUGUGUUGUUGAUCAUUGUUGCGUUUGGUUUGGUUGGUUGAGCGAAAAUUAUGGAUGUGAAAAACGAGCUGUAAAAUUUUCCGCAAUCGGUUAGCGAUUCAACUGUCAAACCCCACUCCCGUUUUGGUAGUCUUGUUGUAUAAAAUAAAAUAGUUUUACUUCUUCCCAAGAAAAAAACAAACAAACACAAAUUCUUCUCAUUGUUUUUGACUCUCCAAAGGUCGGUAACGGAAUUUGUAGCGCACAAAAUUAUCCACAAUUUCCGGUCAUCCUGAGAAAAAACUCAAAUAUAUUACAGCAAAUCGAUAAAAUCUAACCUUAAAAAGUAAGCCUCGGACACUGACUUGUGACGGUACACUAAACACACACAUUCAACGACGAAAGACGGUAAGCUACGUACGGAAAUCCAAACCAAUAGAGACUAUACUAAAGAGAUGAGUACGGUUUUGAGCGCGCGAUGUGUUGCAAUUGUGAGUCACUUCUGUUUUGCGUGUUGUGAGAGUGCGAGAACACAAGGAUGAGAAACGCGUAAGUAUGCGGUUGUGAGUGUGCGAAUUUAUGGCCAUAAAAAUAUCAGUUGUGUUAACAAAAAACCAAUGAAGCACGGCUUCUGUUAAUUUUCCCCUCUUCCUAAUGUGCCUUUUCUACCGUCGAAUUUGUUGCAUUUUAAUAAGUUCAAGUAGUUUUGUUUAAUUCUAUCAUUAUUACUGUUAAGCUCUAAAUCACCUGAAAAUUAAAAAAAAAUGUACAUCAAGAAGGUAUUACACUACGUAAAACUUUGUGUAACAUAAACUUCUAAAAUAAACCCCCAAGAUAUCUGCAAGUCUGUAAAUGAGCAAAUGUCUUUGGAGUUGAGUACAAACAUUUUUUUCGCUCGAAUUUCUCGGCACUGACUGAACGGAUUUUAUCCGGAUUAGUGCCAUUCGGUCCGGUUUGACGUCCCAUAAGUCCGUUGUGAAAAUUAUAAAGUUUGGUGAGGUCCUUCAAAAGUUAUGCUAAAAAAAAAACAAUGUUUUAAUACAAAAAUAGUCAAUAUUUUCCUGAUUUGUUGAAAGCUCCGUAAAAGAAUGCUUUCAUUGAUUGGAUGCUAACAUUUCCUUUAAAACAGAUUUUUUAAACAAAAAUGUUUAGAUAAAUUAACAUGAAAUAGUGCCCAAAUGAAUAUUUUUUUGCAUGUCUCAAAUAAAUGUGCAAAAAUCAUGUUUUUCGAAACAAAAGAAAGUUGUUCCAAAACCAAUUCAUUGCAAAAUCAUAUAACUCGGAGGCAAAAUAUAUAAAUUGGUAAAUUAUCCCGUUCACAGUAAAAAGUUAUUUUUGAAGCUGCCUCAAAUUUUUGAAUUUGUUGAACGCGGUCAAAAAAACUUGCGCGUUCUUUUCGUGACCCCCUCAGGGAAAGUUGACAUUCCGGUUUGACCACGUGCGCUUAAGAUUUUUGAGAAAAAAAAGAUUAAAACAUUGAAAAAUUCAAAAAUUCUAACAUUCAAAAUUACAAAAUUCCAAAAACUCAAAAAAUUAAAAAAUUUUGAAGCUUUUUUUUAAUUGAAAAAUUAAAAAAAAUCGGAAAAAAGGGAUGAGCAAAUAACAAAAAAAAAUCAAGAGAUUUAAAUUCAUAACAUAUCCAUUAAAAUUCUUGAAAAAAAGAUUGAAAAUUCACAAAAUUCAAAAUUUUCAGCAUUUAAAAUUACAAAUUUCUUAAAACUUCAGAACUUAAAAAAUUCAAACCUUUUUUGUUUUUUUAUAUUCAAAAAAUUAAAAAAAAUCGGAAAUAAAAAAUCAAGGGAUUCGAAAAUAAAAAAAAUCAAUAACUUGGAAAAGCUCAAACUAUAACCAAAAAACACAAAAAAAUUAAAAAAAUAAAUUUUAAAAAAAUCUUAAACCAAAGGAUUCAAAAAAAACAAUUACUUCAAAAUUCUUAAACUAUAACCUGAAAACACAAAAACUUAAAAACAUAAAUUCUUAAAUUUUUAGAUUCUCAAAUUCUUCAAUUCUUAAAUCUUCAAACUGUUGAAUUUUUGAAUUCUUAAAUUAUUAAAUUCUGUAUUCUUAAUUUCUUUUUAUUCUUAAAUUCAUAAAUGCCACCAUGUUUGAAGUCAUAUUUUAGGUUAGAGAAAUUUUUAGAAGAAAAUCAUAUAAAUUUCGUGUUUAAUUCUUCCGGAGUGAUAAUUUAUAAUUUUUGCAUUUUUACAUUUUCAUGUUUUUUGUAUUUAAUGAUUUUAAAUUUCUGAUUUUGCAUUAUUUUUGAAUUAUAGUUUUUAUUUUUUUUAUUUUUAUUUGUUUGGUCAAAAUUAUUGCUAUGGCUUUUCCCUCUAGUUUACUUUAUUCCAGCAAAAAAAAAAUCGUCCUUUUCAUUUUCGGCUUUUCAAGAUUUUGCGUUUUAAACUUUGGUCUUACGAGGCUAUGGAAUUAAAAUUUUAGUUAUUAAAUGCAAAAUCAUUUGAACGUUUGUAAUUUAAUUCAUAUUUUUUCGACUUUUCCGUAACAACUCUGCUGUUAUUAUUAAAAUUAUAAUAAUGUUCCAAUUUCCAAAUCAACACUUUUUAUAGAUUUUCCCGUAAUAACAAUAAAAUAAUUUAACGAAAAAUCACUAUCAAUCUUUAGCAUUUCUUCUUGGAUGUUGUGAACUAUUUCAGCAACAUAAUUAAUUUGUUAUCAUUCUUUGUUUCUUUAGAAUCCUUCACGAGCUUUAAUUAGUUCCAUGCAUAUUUAAUAACCUACAAUAUCCGAAAAUCCUAAAUACUCUACUGAUUCUGAAAUUCUUUCUAAGCUACAAGCUUAACAGAUAAAGCAAAAAUUAAUGUUGCUAUAACUUGAAAUGUCCACAAUCAAAGAAAUGUGAUCGAGAAAAUCGUAUGCAGUGUGCACGUGUGUCUGAAAUCUACUCAAAGUAUAUGCAUCAUUCCAUCGAGUGUGACGUACGUGAAAUAAAACAGCUACUUUUAAGUAUUAGAGAGAGAGAGAGCAAGCGUCGUGAGCGUGAGAGCGAGAGAAAAAGCGAGAGACAAAACGCAAGAACGAAAAAUAAGAUAAACUUCCAAAUAAUUAAUAUUAAAAUUACCUAGAGAGAGAGAAAGAAGGAGAGCGAAUUUAAGGUUAAUUGCGAUCAAGCCAAAAGACUCGAAAACGUUUGCACAACACACACAAAGCUAUACAAAACAAAACAAGUGGAAACAUACGCGAACACAAACACAAACAAACACGAUGAUGAUGAUUCCCAGUGAAAGCAAUUUUUACACUGCUUUUUCGUUGCGUGUAUUUCUUUUUAAUUUUUUGUAUUUAAACCGUUAACAAAACAAACGACCGCUGACUAUAAAGAUGCACAGACUGCUGAAUUUAGUGAACGUAAACAUAACAAACAAAAAACAAAACAAACAUGAAAUUAAGUAAAUACUAAAUGAAACAACAAGCGAACAUUGCUCAGGUACAUACAACAAGAAACAAAACAAAAACAAAACCUACAUUGCAAAACAAAACAAAGACUUACAAAGCGAAACACGGAAACUCUCAGUAUAAACAAGAAACAAACAAAACAAAACAAACGAAAGAAGUUGUAAGACAGAAACAAUAAAACCAUGAUACAAUGUUAUGAAAUUUUUCCUUCUUGCUAGAAUGUGAUGCGAGAAAGAGGGAGAGAAAGAGACAACAACAGAACUGUGUGCCAGUGCGCGAACGUGUGAUAAUUGGGUGCGAGUGUGUGCAAGUAUGUAGCAAUAAAACUAACACACACAAAAAAAA